UGCAUACUGUAAAUUUGUUCCUGAUAAUUGCAUAUUCCAUGACACUGUUUAGAAUUUGUGAUUCAUUUACUGCCACUGUGUUACCUCAAUAUUGUGUGUAUUGUUAUGUAUAAUUUGCAUUAAUGAAUUCUAAAGUUUACAGCUUCUCAGAAACCCCUCAAAAGAAAUAUGGCAUCAGUUGACUUACAACAGUCACCAUCUACCAUUUCAAAAAUGCCCCAAAUUAAUUCAGUUUAUACUGAAACCCAAACGACAAAGAAGGCACAAGAAAUUAAAACAAGCCUGUCAAAAAGAGAAGCUUUCAGAGAUCAAGAUGUCCAAAGCCCUGGCAAUCCCUUUGUCAUACCUUUACACCAGGAUUUAUUUUUUAUGGGAGAAAAACUUCAGAAAA